UGGCCAGGAAUGAAAAUAAUGAUCUGGUUACUUGAUCUGAUUACUUGAUGGAUUAAAGGAUUUUCUGAGGCCA
rnacentral:snoRNA from 1 species